rnacentral:tRNA from 1 species
UAGCCAAGUGGUUAAGGCACUGGUCUGUAAAACCAGCACUUUGAUACUCAAUAGGUUCGAAUCCUAUUACUCCCA